CGUACACUCCUGCGGGAGGCAGCAGUGGGGAAUAUUGGACAAUGGGCGCAAGCCUGCUCCAGCCAUGCCGCGUGAGUGAUGAAGGCCCUAGGGUUGUAAAGCUCUUUCACCGGUGAAGAUAAUGACGGUAACCGGAGAAGAAGCCCCGGCUAACUUCGUGCCAGCAGCCGCGGUAAUACGAAGGGGGCUAGCGUUGUUCGGAUUUACUGGGCGUAAAGCGCACGUAGGCGGACUAUUAAGUCAGGGGUGAAAUCCCGGGGCUCAACCCCGGAACUGCCUUUGAUACUGGUAGUCUUGAGUUCGAGAGAGGUGAGUGGAAUUCCGAGUGUAGAGGUGAAAUUCGUAGAUAUUCGGAGGAACACCAGUGGCGAAGGCGGCUCACUGGCUCGAUACUGACGCUGAGGUGCGAAAGCGUGGGGAGCAAACAGGAUUAGAUACCCCGGUAGUCCC
rnacentral:rRNA from 1 species